GAGAGGGACAGAUGGGAGCAGUCCAUUCUAGCCAAGCCCCAUCCUCCAGGCCAGGGAAGGGCCUAUAAGGUGGGUGGGUGGGGUUUGGAUCUAAUGAUGUUCCAAUAUCCACACUAGAACACCUCUUCCAUUCUAUAAUGUAUUCUAGAACACCUCUUCCAUUCUAUAAUGUAUUCUAGAACACCUCUUCUGUUCUAUAAUGUAUUCUAGAACACCUCUUCUGUUCUAUAGUGUAUUCUAGAACACCUAUUCUGUUCUAUAAUGUAUUCUAGAACACCUCUUCUGAUCUAUAAUGUAUUCUAGAACACCUCUUCUGUUCUAUAAUGUAUUCUAGAACACCUCUUCUGUUCUAUAAUGUAUUCUAGAACACCUCUUCUGUUCUAUAGUGUAUUCUAUAUCACCUCUUCUGUUCUAUGACGUAAUCUAGAACACCUCUUCUGUUCUAUAAUGUAUUCUAGAACACCUCUUCUGUUCUAUAACGUAUUCUAGAACACCUCUUCUGUUCUAUAACGUAUUCUAGAACACCUCUUCCGUUCUGUAACCUAUUCUUAAAUACAUUGCUUCAUUCUAAGUAGUAUGUCACUGGACAGAAGUAGAGCAACAGCUGGGUUUUUACAUACCAACAGGUGUUUAUACUAGACACUAGUCCUCCACCAGAAACAUGACAUUGAGACUGUUCCAGAGUGCGAAUUACAAGGGGGGGGGGCCUAAAUCCAACUAUGGGGGAGGAGAGGGUCUCUAAAUAAUGCUAAUAGUAAUUUCCAUGUAAAAGGGCCCACGAGCACCAAGAGGGCCCACGAGCACCAAUAGGGCCCACGAGCACCAAUAGGGCCCACGAGCACCAACAGGGCCAACAGGGCCCACGAGCACCAACAGGGCCCAUCAGCACCAACAGGGCCCAUGACCACCAACAGGGCCAACAGGGCCCACGAGCACCAACAGGGCCAACAGGGCCCACGAGCACCAACAGGGCCAACAGGGCCUACGAGCACCAACAGGGCCAACAGGGCCUACGAGCACCAACAGGGCCCACGAGCACCAACAGGGCCCACGAGCACCAACAGGGCCAACAGGGCCCACGAGCACCAACAGGGCCUAUCAGCACCAACAGGGCCCAUGACCACCAACAGGGCCAACAGGGCCCACGAGCACCAACAGGGCCAACAGGGCUCACGAGCACCAACAGGGCCAACAGGGCCUACGAGCACCAACAGGGCCAACAGGGCCUACGAGCACCAACAGGGCCCACGAGCACCAACAGGGCCCAUCAGCACCAACAGGGCCCAUGAGCACCAACAGGGCCAACAGGGCCUAUGAGCACCAACAGGGCCCAUCAGCACCAACAGGGCCCAUGAGCACCAACAGGGCCAUCAGGGCCCACGAGCACCAACAGGGCCCAUCAGCACCAACAGGGCCCAUCAGCACCAACAGGGCCCACGAGCACCAACAGGGCAACAGGGCUUACGAGCACCAACAGGGCCAACAGGGCCCACGAGCAUUAACAGGGCCUAUGAGCACCAACAGGGCCCACGAGCACCAACAGGGCCCACGAGCACCAACAGGGCCCAUCAGCACCAACAGGGCCCAUCAGCACCAACAGGGCCAACAGGGCCCAUGAGCACCAACAGGGCCCAUCAGCACCAACAGGGCCCAUGAGCACCAACAGGGCCAACAGGGCCCAUGAGCACCAACAGGGCCCAUCAGCACCAACAGGGCCAACAGGGCCUACGAGCACCAACAGGGCCAACAGGGCCUACGAGUACCAACAGGGCCCAUCAGCACCAACAGGCCCAUCAGCACCAACAGGGUCAACAGGGCCCAUCAGCACCAACAGGCCCAUCAGCACCAAUAGGGCCAACAGGGCCUACGAGUACCAACAGGGCCCAUGAGCACCAACAGGGCCCAUCAGCACCAACAGGGCCAACAGGGCCCAUCAGCACAAAUAGGGCCAACAGGGCCCACGAGCACCAACAGGGCCAACAGGAUCCAUCAGCACCAUCAGGGCCCACGAGCACCAACAGGGCCCACGAGCACCAACAGGGCCCAUCAGCACAAAUAGAGCCAACAGGGUCCAUCAGCACAAAUAGGGCCAACAGGGCCCACGAGCACCAAAAGGGUCCAUGAGCACUAACACAGCAGCCGUGUCAAAUUGGAGGUCAAAUGAAAGCUAAGAGCCGAGCCCCCCCCCCCCAUCCUAUAAAUGAUGAAUAAACAAAGACUUUGAUUUCUGGUCAAACAGAUGGAAACGGGGUCUUAGAAAACAUCUCUCAGAAACACCCUUACAAGGUGUUAUAAAUACAGCAAUCAAUCCAAUGUAUUUAUAAAGCCAUCAGCUGAUAUCACAAAGUGCUGUACAGAAACCCAGCCUAAAACCCCCAAACAGCAAGUAAUGCAGAUGUAGAAGCACGGUGGCUAGGAAAAAAACUCCCUAGAAAGGCCCGAGAACCUAGGAAGAAACCUAGAGAGGAACCAGGCUAUGAGGGGUGGCCAGUCCUCUUCUGGCUGUGCCAGGUGUAGAUUAUAACAGAACAUGGCCAAGAUGUUCAAACGUUCAUAAAUGACCAGCAGGGUCAAAUAAUAAUAAUCACAGUAGCUGUAGAGGGUGCAACAGGUCAGCACCUCAGGAGUAAAUGUCAGUUGGCUUUUCAUAACCGAUCAUUCAGAGUUAGAGAGAGCAGGUGCUGUAGAGAAAGAGAGGUAGAGACGGCAGGUGCGGUAGAGCGAGAGAGAGGUAGAGACAGCAGGUGCGGUAGAGAGAGAGAGGGUACAGUAGAGUACAGUAGAGUUCAGUACAGUAGAGUUCAGUAGAGUUCAGUAGAGUAGAGUAGAGUAGAGUUUAGUAAAGUACAGUAGAGUACAGUAGAGUUCAGUACAGUAGAGUUCAGUAGAGUAGAGUUCAAUAGAGUUCAGUAGAGUUCAGUAGAGUAGAGUUCAGUAGAGAUCAGUCGAGUUCAGUAGAGUUCAGUAGAGUAGAGUUCAGUAGAGAUCAGUAGAGUUCAGUAGAGUAGAGUUCAAUAGAGUUCAGUAGAGUAGAGUUCAAUAGAGUUCAGUAGAGUAGAGUUCAGUAGAGUAGAGUACAGUAGAGUUUAGUAAAGUACAGUAGAGUUCAGUACAGUAGAGUUCAGUAGAGUAGAGUACAGUAGAGUACAGUUGAGUUCAGUACAGUAGAGUUCAGUAGAGUAAAGUACAGUAGAGUACAUUAGAGUUCAGUAGAGUAGAGUUCAGUAGAGUAGAGUAUAUUAGAGUUCAGUAGAGUAGAGUUCAGUAGAGUAGAGUACAUUAGAGUUCAGUUCAGUAGAGUUCAGUACAGUACAGUAGAGUUCAGUACAGUAGAGUUCAGUAGAGUAGAGUACAGUAGAGUUCAGUACAGUAGAGUACAGUACAGUAGAGUUCAGUGGAGUUGAGUACAGUAGAGUUGAGUUGAGUACAGUAGAGUUCAGUACAGUAGAGUACAGUACAGUGCAGUACAGUAGAGUUCAGUACAGUAGAGUAGUGUACAGUAGAGUUCAGUGGAGUUGAGUACAGUAGAGUUCAGUACAGUAGAGUUCAGUACAUUAGAGUUCAGUAGAGUUCAGUAGAGUACAUUAGAGUACAGUAGAGUUCAGUAGAGUAGAGUACAUUAGAGUUCAGUAGAGUAGAGUUCAGUAGAGUAGAGUACAGUAGAGUUCAUUACAGUACAGCACAGUAGAGUACAGUAGGGUUUAAUACAAUACAUUACACACAAUAGUUUAAUACAGUACAGUACACAGUAGAGUUUAAUACAGUACAGUACACAGUAGAGCACAUGAGUUAAGUGCAACUGUACUGUACAUUUUAGUCAUUUAGCAGACGCUCUUAUCCAGAGCGACUUACAGUAGUGAAUGCAUACAUUUCAUACAUUUAAAAAAAAAAAUCGUACUGGUCCCCCGUGGGAAUCGAACCCACAACCCUGGCGUUGCAAACACCAUGCUCUACCAACUGAGCCACAUGGGACUGUACUGUGCUGUAUUCUACUGUUCUGUAAUGUACUGUAUUCUACUGUACUGUAAUGUACUGUAUUCUACUGUACUGUACUGUAUUCUACUGUACUGUACUGUAUUCUACUGUUAUUUACUGUACUGUAUUCUACUGUACUGACCUGUAUUCUACUGUACUGACCUGUAUUCUAGUGUACUGUUCUGUACUCUACUGUACUGUACUGUAUUCUACUGUACUGUACUGUACUGUAUUCUACUGUUAUUUACUGUACUACAUUCUACUGUACUGUACUGUACUGUACUGUAUUAUACUGUUCUGUACUGUACUGUAUUCUACUGUAUUCUACUGGACAGUACUGUAUUAUUCUGUUCUGUACUGUACUGUAUUCUACUGUUCUGUACUGUACUGUACUCUGCUGUUCUGUUCUGUACUGUACUGUACUGUAUUCUACUGUAUUCUACUGUACUCUGCUGUACUGUACUGUAUUCCACUGUUCUGUUCUGUACUGUAUUCUACUGUACUGUUCUGAAUUCCAUUGUAUUCUACUGUUCUGUUCUGUACUCUACUGUACUGUACUGUAUUCUACUGUACUGUACUGUACUGUACUGUACUGUACUGUACUGUAUUCUACUGUUAUUUACUGUACUACAUUCUACUGUAUUGUACUGUACUACAUUCUACUGUACUAUACUGUACUCUACUGUUAUUUACUGCCCUGAAUUCUACUGUUCUGUACUGUACUGUAUUCUACUGUACUGUACUGUAUUAUUCUGUUCUGUACUGUACUGUAUUAUUCUGUUCUGUACUGUACUGUAUUCUACUGUACUGUUCUGUAUUCCACUGUAUUCUACUGAUCUGUUCUGUACUCUACUGUACUGUACUGUAUUCUACUGUUCUGUACUGUAUUCUACUGUAUUCUACUGUACUGUAUUCUACUGUUAUGUUCUGUACUCUACUGUACUGUACUGUAUUCUACUGUUCUGUACUGUAUUCUACUGUAUUCUACUGUACUGUAUUCUACUGUUCUGUACUGUUCUGUACUCUACUGUUCUGUAUUGUAUUCUACUGUACUGUACUGUAUUCUACUGUACUGUACUGUAUUCUACUGUUCUGUACUGCUCUGUACUCUACUGUUCUGUAUUGUAUUCUACUGUACUGUACUGUAUUCUACUGUUCUGUACUGUAUUCUACUGUACUGUAUUCUACUGUAUUCUACUGUACUGUAUUCUACUGUUCUGUACUGUUCUGUACUCUACUGUUCUGUACUGUAUUCUACUGUACUGUACUGUAUUCCACUGUAUUCUACUGUUCUGUACUCAACUAUAUUGUACUGUAUUCUACUGUAUUCUACUGUACUCUGCUGUACUGUACUGUAUUCUACUGUUCUGUUCUGUACUGUAAUGUAUUCUACUGUUCUGUACUGUACUGUAUUCUACUGUAUUCUACCAUACUCUGCUGUACUGUACUGUACUGUAUUCUACUGUAUUCCACUGUACUGUACUGUAUUCUACUGUUCUGUUCUGUACUGUAAUGUAUUCUACUGUUCUGUACUGUACUGUAUUCUACUGUAUUCUACCAUACUCUGCUGUACUGUACUGUACUGUAUUCUACUGUAUUCCACUGUACUGUACUGUAUUCUACUGUACUGUACUGUAUUCUACUGUAUUCUACUCUAUUCUACAGUAUUCUACUGUUCUGUACUGUACUGUAUUCUACUGUUCUGUACUGUAUUCUACUGUAUUGUACUGUGCUGUAUUCUACUGUACUGUACUGUAUUCUACUGUACUGUACUCUAUUCUACUGUUCUGUACUGUAUUCUACUGUAUUCUACAGUACUUUAUUCUACUGUAUUCUACUGUAUUCUACUGUUCUGUUCUGUUCUUUGAUGUCCAAACUUGUGAAACAUAGACUUGUAUGAUUGGUUCAGAUUUUGUCCCGUGAUGAUAUUCCCCCGGGGGGAGUCAUACGUUUUAAGAGAUGGUUUAAACCAUGUUUUUCCCACGUGGCUGCACUUGUCAUCCUGGGACAGUCCCGUAACUCAGCCACUUGUCAUCCUGGGACAGUCCCGUAACUCAGCCACUUGUCAUCCUGGGACAAUCCCGUACCUCAGCCACUUGUCAUCCUGGGACAGUCCCGUACCUCAGCCACUUGUCAUCCUGGGACAAUCCCGUACCUCAGCCACUUGUCAUCCUGGGACAGUCCCGUACCUCAGCCCGUUUUCAAGUGUCCCAACUUUUCUUUCUACAAAAAAAGGUAAUUUUGGCAGCAAGACGCACACGUUAAUUUAGGCUACAAGAGAGUGUAGAUUCAAUGACAAUCACCGAACGUCAUUCCACUUCUUGGUGUUUUGUUCCAGAUGUCUCUUUCCGUUCCUCUAAUGGCUGGUGCGCUGUCUGGAUGCUGGAGUUAUUUUAGAGAAAUUAAAAAUGAAAAGUUAAUAAAAAAAAAUCUUUACUGUUAAAUUACUUUUUUUUUUAUCCCCCCCCGAAUGUCACAUUAUAAUUCGCACUCUGGAUUGUUCAAUUCAUUUGAAGAAUUAGAAAUGAAUUGAAUUCAAAAUUAAUCUCCUGAAUUGAUUGGAGUGAA
rnacentral:lncRNA from 1 species